rnacentral:rRNA from 1 species
UACAGAGGGUGCAAGCGUUAAUCGGAAUUACUGGGCGUAAAGCGUGCGCAGGCGGCUUUGCAAGACAGAUGUGAAAUCCCCGGGCUCAACCUGGGAACUGCAUUUGUGACUGCAAAGCUGGAGUGCGGCAGAGGGGGAUGGAAUUCCGCGUGUAGCAGUGAAAUGCGUAGAUAUGCGGAGGAACACCGAUGGCGAAGGCAAUCCCCUGGGCCUGCACUGACGCUCAUGCACGAAAGCGUGGGGAGCAAACAGG